UGACAUUGUUUAACGGCCGCGGUAUCAUGACCGUGCGAAGGUAGCGUAAUCACUUGUCUUUUAAUUGAAGACCUGUAUGAAAGGCAUCACGAGAGUUUACCUGUCUCUAUUUUCUAAUCAAUGAAAUUGAUCUCCCCGUGCAGAAGCGGGGAUAUAACCAUAAGACGAGAAGACCCUAUGGAGCUUUAAACACUUAAGUUACUACCUUACUCACUAAUCNNAUCUAAAGACUUAACCACUCCNNAAUAGUAGCCUAGCUUAAUGUUUUCGGUUGGGGCGACCAAGGAGUAAAAGAAAACCUCCUUAUCGAUUGAGUNNAUUUUUACUUAAAAAUCAGAACGACAGCUCUGAUUAAUAGAAUGUCUAACGAAUAAUGACCCAGGGUUAUACCCUGAUCAAUGAACCAAGUUACCCUAGGGAUAACAGCGCAAUCCUUUCUAAGAGUCCAUAUCGCCGAAAGGGUUUACGACCUCGAUGUUGGAUCAGGACAUCCUAAUGGU
rnacentral:rRNA from 1 species